UACCAGACUCCUACGGGAGGCAGCAGUGAGGAAUAUUGGUCAAUGGGCGGGAGCCUGAACCAGCCAAGCCGCGUGAAGGAAGAAGGCGCCAGGCGUCGUAAACUUCUUUUGUCGGGGAACAAAGGGCGCCACGUGUGGCGUUGUGAGUGUACCCGAAGAAAAAGCAUCGGCUAACUCCGUGCCAGCAGCCGCGGUAAUACGGAGGAUGCGAGCGUUAUCCGGAUUUAUUGGGUUUAAAGGGUGCGUAGGCGGUCCGGAAAGUCAGCGGUAAAAGCCCGGGGCUCAACCCCGUCGUGCCGUUGAAACUGGCGUUCUUGAGUGAGCGAGAAGUAUGCGGAAUGCGUGGUGUGGCGGUGAAAUGCAUAGAUAUCACGCAGAACUCCGAUUGCGAAGGCAGCAUACCGGCGCUCAACUGACGCUCAUGCACGAAAGCGUGGGUAUCGAACAGGAUUAGAUACCCGAGUAAC
rnacentral:rRNA from 1 species